rnacentral:rRNA from 1 species
GCCUGUGGAUGAAAUCGCGUCCUAUUAGCUUGUUGGUGGGGUAACGGCCUACCAAGGCAACGAUGGGUAGCGGGCCUGAGAGGGCGACCCGCCACACUGGAACUGAGACACGGUCCAGACUCCUACGGGAGGCAGCAGUGCUGAAUCAUUCGCCAAUGCGCGAAAGCGUGACGGUGCGACGCCGCGUGCGGGAUGAAGGCCUUCGGGUUGUAAACCGCUGUCAGGUCCUAGGAAACCAUAGGGGUGAAUAGUCUCUAUGCUGACCAGGUCCAGAGGAAGCACAGGCUAACUUCGUGCCAGCAGCCGCGGUAAGACGAAGUGUGCGAGCGUUGUUCGGAAUCACUGGGCGUAAAGGGUGCGUAGGCGGCAUGGUAAGUCAGGUGUGAAAUCCCCCGGCUCAACCGGGGAAUUGCUUUUGAUACUGCCAUGCUUGAGAGCGAAAGGGGCAAGCGGAAUUCCAGGUGUAGCGGUGGAAUGCGUAGAUAUCUGGGAGAACGCCGAUGGCGAAGGCAGCUUGCUGGGUCGCGUCUGACGCUGAGGCACGAAAGCUAGGGGAGCGAACAGGAUUAGAUACCCUGGUAGUCCUAGCCGUAAACGAUGGGCACUACGUUCCGGAGGGCCUGAUCCCUUCGAAGCGUGAGUUAACGCAUUAAGUGCCCCGCCUGGGGAGUAUGGUCGCAAGGCUAAAACUCAGAGGAAUUGACGGGGGCUCACACAAGCGGUGGAGCAUGUUGUUCAAUUCGAAGCAACGCGAAGAACCUUACCUGGGCUUGACAUGCUAGUAGUACGAACCCGAAAGGGGGAGGACUCUUAACCGAGAGCUAGCACAGGUGCUGCAUGGCUGUCGUCAGCUCGUGUCGUGAGACGUUGGGUUAAGUCCCGUAACGAGCGAAACCCUUGUUGUCUGUUGCCAUCGGGUCAUGCCGGGCACUCUGGCAGGACUGCCGGUGUUAAACCGGAGGAAGGCGGGGACGACGUCAAGUCAUCAUGGUCCUUACGUCCAGGGCUACAAACGUGCUACAAUGGCCAGUACAGAGAGAAGCGAGACCGCGAGGUGGAGCAAAUCUUCAAAGCUGGCCCCAGUUC